AAACUUCGCAAUGCGCGAAAGCGUGACGAGGGAACCCCAAGUGCCGUUGGCCUUUUGAUCGACGGCUUUUCGGAAGUCUAAGAAGCUCCCGGAAUAAGGGCUGGGCAAGACUGGUGCCAGCCGCCGCGGUAAUACCUGCAGCCCAAGUGGUGAUCGUUAUUAUUGGGUUUAAAACGUCCGUAGCUGAUCUAGUAAAUUCCUGGGUAAAUCGAAUUGCUUAACAAUCCGAAUUCCGGGGAGACUGCUAGACUUGGGACCGGAAGAGGUCAAAAGUACUUCCGGGG
rnacentral:rRNA from 1 species